AUUGAACGCUGGCGGCAGGCCUAACACAUGCAAGUCGAACGGUAACAGGAAACAGCUUGCUGUUUCGCUGACGAGUGGCGGACGGGUGAGUAAUGUCUGGGAAACUGCCUGAUGGAGGGGGAUAACUACUGGAAACGGUAGCUAAUACCGCAUAACGUCGCAAGACCAAAGAGGGGGACCCUCGGGCCUCUUGCCAUCGGAUGUGCCCAGAUGGGAUUAGCUUGUUGGUGGGGUAACGGCUCACCAAGGCGACGAUCCCUAGCUGGUCUGAGAGGAUGACGAGCCACACUGGAACUGAGACACGGUCCAGACUCCUACGGGAGGCAGAAGUGGGGAAUAUUGGACAAUGGGCGCAAGCCUGAUGCAGCCAUGCCGCGUGGAUGAAGAAGGCCUUCGGGUUGUAAAGUACUUUCCGCGGGGAGGAAGGGAGUAAAGUUAAUAGCUUUGCUCAUUGACGUUACCCGCAGAAGAAGCACCGGCUAACUACGUG
rnacentral:rRNA from 1 species